rnacentral:rRNA from 1 species
UAGGGAAUCUUCGGCAAUGGGGGCAACCCUGACCGAGCAACGCCGCGUGAGUGAAGAAGGUUUUCGGAUCGUAAAGCUCUGUUGUAAGAGAAGAACGUGUGUGAGAGUGGAAAGUUCACACAGUGACGGUAACUUACCAGAAAGGGACGGCUAACUACGUGCCAGCAGCCGCGGUAAUACGUAGGUCCCGAGCGUUGUCCGGAUUUAUUGGGCGUAAAGCGAGCGCAGGCGGUUUAAUAAGUCGGAAGUUAAAGGCAGUGGCUUAACCAUUGUUCGCUUUGGAAACUGUUAAACUUGAGUGCAGAAGGGGAGAGUGGAAUUCCAUGUGUAGCGGAGAAAUGCGUAGAUAUAUGGAGGAACACCGGUGGCGAAAGCGGCUCUCUGGUCUGUAACUGACGCUGAGGAUCGAAAGCGUGGGGAGCAAACAGG